AAGGAAUAUUGCUCAAUGGGAGAAAUCCUGAAGCAGCAACGCCGCGUGGAGGAUGAAGGGUCUAUGACUUGUAAACUCCUGUAAAGAAGGAAAAAAUUCCCAUUUGAUGGGAGAUGAUGGUACUUCUGGAGUAAGCCCCGGCUAACUACGUGCCAGCAGCCGCGGUAAUACGUAGGGGGCAAGCGUUGUCCGGAUUUACUGGGUGUAAAGGGUGCUCAGGCGGAUUUGUAAGUCAGAGGUGAAAUCUUACAGCUUAACUGUGAAACUGCCUUUGAUACUGCAAGCCUAGAGUAUGGAAGAGAGUGAUGGAAUAUCUGGUGUAGCAGCGAAAUGCGUAGAUAUCAGAUAGAACACCAAUGGCGAAGGCAGUCACUUGGUCCAUUACUGACGCUAAAGCACGAAAGCGUGGGUAGCAAACA
rnacentral:rRNA from 1 species